GAGAAGUGAAAAUAAUGUUAUAUCACCAUAUUCAAAGGGUUGAAAGAGUCUUGUUUGGAGUUGUGUGGGGUUAAAUAAUUAUGUUUGCAAUAUUUCAGAAGUUGGUAGAAAAAGAAAAUAAAAAUAGAAAAGAAAAAAAUGAAUUAAAAAAAGUAGAAGGAUGUAUACAUGUCAAUACAUACUUCUUAUGAAAAAGAAAAAAAUAAGAAGAAAAAAAGAGAAAAGAGAAAAAAUAUGAAUGAAAACAGUUACUAUAGAGUUGUUGAAGUGAAUGAAAUAUUUUGUUAAUUCAACUCCCGCAGUUUCUUUCAAGUCUCUUUUGUCUCUUUGAAUUUUAGCCUAGUACCCCUUAGGAUUGUUAAUUCAACUCCCGCAGUUUCUUUCAAGUCUCUUUUGUCUCUUUGAAUUUUAGCCUAGUACCCCUUAGGAUUUAUCUCACCCUUACCUUG
rnacentral:lncRNA from 1 species